rnacentral:rRNA from 1 species
UUCCAGACUCCUACGGGAGGCAGCAGUGGGGGAUAUUGCACAAUGGGGGGAACCCUGAUGCAGCGACGCCGCGUGGGUGAGGGAGCGUUUCGGCGCGUAAAGCCCUAUCGGCAGGGAAGAAGGAGGACGGUACCUGACUAAGAAGCCCCGGCUAACUACGUGCCAGCAGCCGCGGUAAUACGUAGGGGGCAAGCGUUAUCCGGAUUUAUUGGGUUUAAAGGGUGCGUAGGCGGAUUUUUAAGUCAGCGGUAAAAUGUCCGGGCCCAACCCGGGCCGGCCGUUGAAACUGGGGAUCUUGAGUGGGCGAGAAGUAUGCGGAAUGCGUGGUGUAGCGGUGAAAUGCAUAGAUAUCACGCAGAACUCCGAUUGCGAAGGCAGCAUACCGGCGCCCGACUGACGCUGAGGCACGAAAGCGUGGGGAUCGAACAGGAUUAGAUACCCCCGUACA